UACGUAGGGGGCUAGCGUUGUCCGGAUUUAUUGGGCGUAAAGAGCGCGUAGGCGGCCAGAUAAGUCCGGUGUGAAAGUCACAGGCUCAACCUGUGAAUGCCGCUGGAAACUGUCUGGCUAGAGUCCGGAAGGGGCGAGUGGAAUUCCUGGUGUAGCGGCGAAAUGCGCAGAUAUCAGGAGGAACACCGAUGGCGAAGGCAGCUCGCUGGGACGGUACUGACGCUGAGGCGCGAAAGCGUGGGGAGCGAACAGG
rnacentral:rRNA from 1 species